rnacentral:rRNA from 1 species
GACGAACGCUGGCGGCGUGCUUAACACAUGCAAGUCGAACGGAAAGGCCCUGCUUCUUUGUGGUGCUCGAGUGGCGAACGGGUGAGUAAGACGUGCGUAACCUACCCUUGCCUUUGGGGUAACUUCAGGAAACUAAGGCUAAUACCUGACAGGUGCUCCCGCUGCACGGCGGCGGUUGGAAAGUUUCGGCGGUUGGGGUAGGUCUCCCGGCUUAUCAGCUUGUGGGUGGGGUUGUGGCUUACCAAGGCUUUGACGGGUAGCCGGCCUGAGAGGGUGACCGGCCACAGUGGGACUGGGGUGCGACCCAGGCUCCUACGGGCGGCAGCAGUGGGGGAUAGUGGACGAUGGGCGGAAGCCUGAAGCAGCACCGCCGCGUGGUGGAUGACGGCUUUCGGGUUGUAAACCGCUUUUGCCUAUGACGAAGAGUGAGUGACGGUAAUGGGUAAGAAAGCACCGGCUAACUACGUG